GUGAGAACCCUGACCCCUAAUCCCACUGCAUCCAGCCAAUAGGAGCCCAGCCACCAUGGCGGAGCUGCAGGAGGUGCAGAUCACAGAGGAGAAGCCACUGUUGCCAGGACAGACGCCUGAGGCGGCCAAGGAGGCUGAGUUAGCUGCCCGAAUCCUCCUGGACCAGGGACAGACUCACUCUGUGGAGACACCAUACGGCUCUGUCACUUUCACUGUCUAUGGCACCCCCAAACCCAAACGCCCAGCGAUCCUUACCUACCACGAUGUGGGACUCAACUAUAAAUCUUGCUUCCAGCCACUGUUUCAGUUCGAGGACAUGCAGGAAAUCAUUCAGAACUUUGUGCGGGUUCAUGUGGAUGCCCCUGGAAUGGAAGAGGGAGCCCCUGUGUUCCCUUUGGGAUAUCAGUACCCAUCUCUGGACCAGCUUGCAGACAUGAUCCCUUGCGUCCUGCAGUACCUAAAUUUCUCUACAAUAAUUGGAGUUGGUGUUGGAGCUGGAGCCUACAUCCUGGCGAGAUAUGCUCUUAACCACCCGGACACUGUUGAAGGUCUUGUCCUCAUCAACAUUGAUCCCAAUGCCAAGGGUUGGAUGGAUUGGGCAGCCCACAAGGUUUGGAGGGGCCUGUGUGCUGAGACCUAGGGUUGGGGAUCCCCUCGUAUGGAUCCAGUUAGGCUCUGGUAGAUAGCCUAACUGGAUGGACUCUGAACUUCAAGGUGGGAAUAAAGGGGCAGGAAAGUGAAGCUGUCACUUUGCCUGAGUCUCUUAUAAUAUCCUGAACUUUCUUUUUUUCUUUUUUCUUUUUUUUUUUUUUUUGAGAUGGUGUCUCACUCUGUUGCCAAGGCU
rnacentral:sRNA from 1 species